rnacentral:misc_RNA from 1 species
GUUUUGAGGAUUUUUAGAAUAAAAUGGAAUUACAAGAUUUAUAUCCUGUGAAGUUUAGCAUGUGGAUAAUGUGUUGGUAAUAUUGAAUAUUGAAUAAUUUUAUUAGACAUGAAAUGCGUUCUUUUUUUUGCCCUUCUUUUAUGUUUUUAUUAUCAUUUCAAUUUUAACUAUCUAGUGUGGGUAUGAUUAUUGAUGUAAAGCUAGAAAGUGUUGAUGACAUUGGUAGAAGGUGCCAGUGGUGUGGAGUUGGAUAUAAGGGGACUCGGUUGGAAGGAUUUUCUUUAGUUUAUGCGUUGUAUUUUAAGAAUAUGGGGUUCUUAUGUCACAAUAAAGCUUUUCAAGUACACUCAAAUGAAAAGCUAUGGUUUAUGCAAAUGAGUUUUGGCAGUAAAGGGACAUGAUAAACAAUGAGUGUUGGGGAGAUAAGAAUGCCAAGA